GCCCGGGAGGUGUUGGGGCGUUCUGCGGCUGAGGGGCGGAGGUGCAGGUGCAGUAGGGAUACCCUCUGGGAUAGCGUUUGAGGGGACAGAGGUUCAGUUUGCCCGAGAGCUUUAAAGGCGCUGGGUCCUGCCUUCGUCCUGAGGAGGUCUCGAUCCCGAGAUCAGGUCUGACCCGGCCCUCAGUGGCACUGGAUAUGCUGCUGUUCUUCACUUUGGGAUUGUUCGUACACGUUGUAUUCUUCGCCUCCAUCUUUGACAUUUACUUUACAUCUCCUUUGGUUCAUGGAAUGACUCCUCGGUUUACAUCAUUGCCUCCUCCAGCAAGAAGAUUAGUGCUCUUUGUUGCCGAUGGCCUGAGAGCAGAUACGCUUUAUGAAUUAGAUGAAAAUGGAAACUCAAGAGCUCCAUUUAUUAGGAAUAUUAUAAUGCAUGAAGGCAGUUGGGGUAUAUCUCAUACACGUGUGCCAACAGAAUCUCGGCCAGGGCACGUAGCCCUGAUAGCUGGGUUUUAUGAAGAUGUCAGUGCGGUUGCCAAAGGGUGGAAGGAAAAUCCUGUAGAAUUUGAUUCUCUUUUUAAUGAAAGCAAGUAUACAUGGAGCUGGGGAAGCCCGGAUAUCUUGCCUAUGUUUGCCAAAGGUGCUAGUGGAGACCAUGUUUACACAUACAGUUAUGAUGCUGAAAGAGAAGAUUUUGGUGCCCAUGAUGCAACAAAGCUGGAUACCUGGGUUUUUGAUCAUGUUAAGGAAUUCUUUCAUGCUGCCAGAAACAACCAGUCUUUGUUUUCUAAAAUAAAUGAAGAAAAAAUAGUUUUUUUCUUACAUUUAUUAGGAAUAGAUACAAAUGGACAUGCUCACCGACCAUCAUCAAGGGAAUACAAGGAUAAUAUUAAAAUAGUCGAUGAUGGAGUGAAAGAAAUUGUGUCCAUGUUUAAACAUUUUUAUGGAAAUGAUGAAAAAACAACAUUUAUCUUUACCUCGGACCAUGGAAUGACCGACUGGGGUUCCCAUGGGGCUGGUCAUCCUUCAGAAACUUUAACUCCUUUGGUAACUUGGGGAGCAGGAAUUAAAUAUCCCCAGAAAGUAUCAGCUCAGCAAUUUGAUGAUAAGUUUUUGAAAGAAUGGGGACUGGAAGAAUGGAAGAGGAAGGAUGUCAAUCAGGCUGAUAUUACACCAUUGAUGGCUUCCCUUAUUGGAGUCCCCUUUCCCCUUAAUUCAGUGGGAAUCCUUCCUAUGGAUUAUCUGAACAACACUGACCUCUUUAAAGCAGAGAGCAUAUUUACAAAUGCAGUACAGAUACUUGAACAGUUCAAGGUGAAAAUGACUCAGAAAAAAGAAACUACUUUACCAUUUUUGUUUACACCAUUUAAGUUGCUUUCUGAGGCUAAACAGACGAACAUCUUAAGAAAAGCAAGAUCUUACAUAGAACAGGGAGAGUUUGAUGAAGCAAUCUCCCUUUGCAAGGAGCUGAUUCAUCUUGCGUUGAAAGGAUUGUCCUAUUAUCACACUUAUGACAGAUUCUUUUUGGCUACUAAUGUUGUUAUUGGCUUUGUGGGAUGGACAGUUUAUGCUUCUUUGUUGAUCAUCAAGUCUCAUUCCAACCUAACAAGACGUGUUAGUAAAGAACUUAAGAAACCAAGCCAUCUUCUGCCAUGUUUUGUAGCUAUUGGCAUUUUAGUGGCAUUUUUCCUGCUGAUCCAAGCCUGUCCCUGGACUUACUAUGUAUAUUGUUUGUUGCCAGUGCCAAUAUGGUAUGCGGUUCUAAGAGAGUUUCAAGUUAUUCAAGAUCUUGUUGCAUCACUGUUGACCUUUCCUCUGAGCCAUUUUGUUUGGUACCUGUUAGUCUUUAUUUUGGGAAUUGAAGUAUUAAUUCUCAGUUUUUUCUACCGCUGUAUGCUUACAGCUGGACUUAUUGCAUUUGCGGUUUGGCCGUUUCUCACUCAGCUGUGGACUCGAGCAAAGAUUACCUCCCUGGGUUGGACUUUCUUCUGUUUGCUUCUGGCAGUGUUCCCACUGAUGCCUGUCGUAGGUCGAGAGCCAGACAUCUCUCUAGUAAUGGGUGCAGGUGUGCUGGUUCUUCUUCUAUCCCUGUUCGUUGUGACAUCUCUUAUGAAAAGAAAAAUUAGCUUUGGAAAGGAAGAGUUGUUGGUAUAUCUAUUACAGAUGAUAAAUACAGUGCUUUCUAUGUAUGUUGUGUAUAGUACCCACAGUAGUCUAUUCAAGAAACAGGGACUCCCUCUUACAAAUCAAAUUGUGAGUUGGGCAACAUUAGCCUCUUCCUUGGUUGUGCCACUGCUGAGUUCUCCAGUUCUCUUCCGGCGAUUGUUUAGCAUACUUCUUUCCUUGAUGUCAACUUAUUUACUUCUAAGCACAGGGUAUGAAGCUCUCUUUCCACUAGUGUUGUCAUGUUUGAUGUUUAUCUGGAUAUACAUGGAACAAGAAACUCUACAACAAUCUGGUAUUUUCUCUAAACAGAAGCUCACCACUAUCCAGUUCUCCUACAAUACUGAUAUAACUCAGUUUCGACAGCUGUAUCUGGAUGACCUCCGUAGGGCUUUUUUCCUCGUCUUCUUCUUAGUGACAGCAUUUUUUGGAACUGGAAAUAUAGCUUCUAUUAACAGCUUUGAUCUUGCCUCCGUCUACUGCUUUCUGACUGUGUUUAGUCCUUUUAUGAUGGGAGCCUUGAUGAUGUGGAAGAUUUUAAUUCCUUUUGUUCUUGUGAUGUGUGCUUUUGAAGCAGUUCAGUUAACUACACAGUUAUCAUCAAAAAGCCUUUUUCUCAUUGUUCUCAUCAUAUCAGACAUCAUGGCCUUGCAAUUUUUCUUCUUGAUCAAGGAUUAUGGCAGUUGGCUUGAUAUUGGAACAAGACCUCCCCUUGACUCUACCCCACUGAGGAGGAGGAGGGCCGCAUUAUUGCUGAAUGUGAAUAGAACAUCACCUUGGAUAGAUGAAAGUACCAGCUUCCCUACUCAGCCUGCUCUGAUACCACAGAAGAUAGGGAGUAUGGAUGGGGAUCUGGAGUACCCCAUUAUAGCCUGCAUCAGCCACUAUGUGAUCGUCAUGUCCAUGGCCAUCUUUUUGGUGUUUCUCAAUGGUCUGGCACAGCUGCUCACAACUAAGCAGCUCAAACUGUAUGGCAAACCCAAAAGCCACCUCAUAUAAUGUUGCUAAAUCCAUCAUCCAGCAUCUGGAUCCUGUUUAUCAUUCUCUUUCUAAAUUACAAUCUCAUCAAGGAUUCAAAAGAAGAUGGAUAUAGAUGCAUAGCAUGUUCUACUACUGUACAAAACUUAUUUGGAAUUCUGAGUUUACAGGUUAUCUUGGAUAAAGGAGAUACCUUUUUCUUUGACGUUUUUUAUUCACUUUGAAGUAGUGGUUAUGUGUGUGGGAAUGCAUAAGUAAAGCACUCUCCAUUUUCAUUCUUUUUCUGUAGCUGGCAGCUCUUCUCAGUAAUGUUCAAAGCUUCUGUAACAAUCUGAUCAUGGUACAGCUUCCCAUGUGUCCAAAGGAUAGCGUCUAUCUAUGGGGACAGUACUGAUGGCACCCAACAUUGCUGUUGUUGAACUUAAGGGAGAUCAUAAGCUGGCAUCAGGAGUAUUUAUCAGCUCUCAGCACUGCUUUGUAGUAGUUCUAACUACUCAGUGAUAUCACUGGUAAGGCAGGGUAUGUUAUUUCAGAUUUACUGAAACUCCGGCAGAAAAAUGUUUGUGUUUGUCAUUUUUCUUCAGAAUGCAGUGGCACUAUCUUAGGCAUUUUAAUGCUGUUUCCAGAGUUUCCAUAGUCAGCUAGCUAGAUACAGGUUCAACUUUCACUCCCUCUUCCCCUCGUUUCUAGAUUAUCACAGAAUUUGAGGGAUAAAAAAAUGGGAAGAAUGUUUAGUACUUAUGUCUUGUCUAAACAAAAAAUUAAAAGGAAUUUUUAGUUGUAGACUCAAUAUCUGUUAUACUUACAAAUUUUUUUCAUGUAUUAUUUCAACGGGAUGCUCUAAAUUGUGGUUAAAACUUCCUGACAAUAUCCUAAGAAUUCAUGUUGAAAAUGCUAUUUUUGUGGUUGUGAGAUACUAGCCAUAGACCUAAAGUCAUCUCAUUAAAUUUAGAUUUCCAUUUGUAAAUUAAUUCCAAUGGACUAAAUAUUUUAAGACUAAUUUUUAUUUGGAAUAUCCAUUUACUUUUAUAUAUCACUGUAGAGUUGACCCAUGAUAUGCCAGAAGUGUUUGACUGAUGCUAACCUUUGCUGACUUUUAUACAAAGAAAUUAAUGAAUAUUUUAUUGCAACGUUGUAAAAGGUGCUCAAUGCCUUAUGUUUAUUAUGUUCUUCAGAGCAUGUUUUUUUCUUUUAAUACUGCCUUUGGGGUCAUUGUGAGUUUAUAGGAGUAGAAAGUGUCUCUGCAGCCACUGGGUACCUUGCUACACUGUGUAUAGCCCCCCCACCCUGACUUAAGAAUGGGCCUUUUCUAGUCCAUAGUUUCUAAACAAUCUUAAAGUGUUUUGAAGCAUAUAUUUUUAAUUCUUUUUUUUUUUUUUUUUGGUACCGAGAAUCAAACUCAGGGCCUUGCACUUCCCAGAACUCAGAGCCAUGGUCUACUUAUGAGCAAAACAGACAAGUCUCGAUUCACGGACAUUCUACAAAAUACCCAAUGCAUAUUCUUCAAAGCUGUCAAAGCCAUCAAAAACAAGGAAAUGCUAAGAAACUGUCACAGUGAAAAGGAGCCUGCCUACACAGUCAUGAAUAAGAAAUGUAAUGUGGCAUUUUGGGUGGGAUCCUAAAACAAAAAGGACAUUAAGUGAAAACUAAGGAAAUCUGAGUUCAGUAGUAUGGAUUUAGUUAAUAAAAUAUCAAUAUUGUUUCAUUAAUUUUGAAAAUAGACCUUACAAUGUAAGUUGUUAAAAACUGGAUAAACUGGGUAAGGGAGUAUGUGGGAACUUUGCACUAUUUUUACAAAUAUUCUAUGAAACUAUUCUAAAAUA